AGCUUGGCCUCUAUGCUAAAUACUAAGGAUUUGAUCCAAAAGACCUUUGAAGUCAAUACGAGUCUUUCCAUUGACUUCACUUGGCUUUGGAUCAGUCCUGUGUAAGGAACCCUCCUCCAAACACUUUAGACAGAAUAUUCUUGACUAUGCCUGUUUGGACACACCACACAUCAACGUGAACAAAUUAUAAACCAUGCGCUGCAGUUGUGAUUCAAAAUGGAACUGAAUGAAUGAACGGAUCUAUCCCCAGCGAGUAUGGCAGGAUAUUUCUUCAAAGAGGAUCGGAAAUUAACAGAUCAGAGGCUGGCAACCUGCACCUCUCUUUAAGAGACUGGAAUGCUGAUGGAAGGAUUUGGAUUGACAGCUUUGAAGACUGAAGUCCAGGAGAACAAGUACAGAUCAGGUGACAGUGAAAUGAGCUUCUCCGCAUUGAAAUAAGGGUUGAAGCACUUCCAAGAGUAAAAAGGAUAGUUCAGUCUCAAUUUCCACCCUGUCCUUUGCCUCCUUGCUGAACAGCCUAAUGCAAAGUCAAUUGAAAUGAAUGGGAGCCUUUGCGUACAUGUAACCCUGCAUUGUACAGGAUACGUAUGCAGUGUGUUAUUAAAAAAUUUUAAAAAAAAUCUCAUAGUCAUUGCUGCCUUUGUGUAUUUCUUUCCUCUCAAUUCUGUUUUCAUCCUGUGUCGUCCCCCGUCCCCCCCACACACACACACACACUCGACUUCUCUUUACCCACAACCCAAACUGCAUUUCCUCACAGUCUCUAAGUGGGAUGCAAAGCUAACGACAUUAGAAUUUAAGCCAAACUUUUGAACCCCACGGUGCCUGAAUGGGUUCAGUCGGAGGCAGUACAAGUUUGCUCAUCUCUGCUUCUCAGUCAUCCAUCAUCACGGCCCCUCUUUAGAGAUCAGACAGCUUAUAAACUGUUUCUGUCC